GUAGUGACCCGCUCUUUUAUAUAUUUUAAAUCCAGUAAUGAGUGUGUAUUUUGUUCAUCAGUGAAUGAAAAUGGAUAUUAUUCUGAUAUGAAUUCAGCUUAUGAUCCUGAAUUUAUAUUGUUAAAGCAGUCAAUGAUAUUAUUUCAGAGUUAUAACUGACUUAGCAAAGUCACGUUAUUUAUUUAAGCGAGAUGGAAUUAGAUUUUAUUCUUACUCAAGUUGUGGAUUAUUUCAGACUCGUGAGUUAAUUAAAUCUGCGGAUUUAAUUUAGAUAUCAGAUCAAUGAACGAAUUAAAUCUACGGAUUUAAUUUAGAUUCAUUUUAUAACUUAUCGUUUUUAGUAAGAUAUCACAUGUCGAAAUCGGGAUUUAUUUAAAUAAACAGUACAAGCAAAUAUGAGCACGUGAUUCACUUUACAGUUACAGAAUCACCGAGUCAGAGAAAAUACAUCAAUAAUUCUCCUCUACAUUUUUUUUCCUUUCUUUUUCUUCUCUUUUUCUUUCCAUUAAACUUUGUUCCCCAACCUCUAUACACCACUAUCAUUAUGUUUUUCUUUCUUUUUCCCCACCAUUACACUCAAGUCUUCACCAAUGAAUUAUUAGUAGCAACCCCAGCCAACAAACUCCCUACUUCAUUCACUGUCCGUCAAGUUUCAAGGGGAGUAAAGUACUCUUCUUCUUGCCAAACUUCAAGGAGGUAAGCCUUCUUUGAAUUCUCUUUAAUGCACUCAGGAUUCCACCUACAUUUAUGAACAGCAACUUGGUUAUUUCAGUUCAUUUUGCUGCAUAUAAUCCAACAACGAAACAGCCAUUCAACAAGACAUUCAAGGUAUUUACACUAUUCC
rnacentral:lncRNA from 1 species